CCUACGGGUGGCAGCAGUGAGGAAUAUUGGUCAAUGGGCGAGAGCCUGAACCAGCCAAGUCGCGUGAAGGAUGACGGCCCUACGGGUUGUAAACUUCUUUUGUCAGGGAGCAAUUUGGUCCACGCGUGGGCUUAUCUAGAGUACCUGAAGACAAAGCCUCGGCUAACUCCGUGCCAGCAGCCGCGGUAAUACGGAGGAUGCGAGCGUUCUCCGGAUUUAUUGGGUUUAAAGGGUGCGUAGGCGGAAUAUCAAGUCAGCGGUAAAAAUUCGGGGCUAAACCCAGUCGUGCCGUUGAAACUGAUGGUCUUGAGUGGGCGAGAAGUAGGCGGAAUGCGUGGUGUAGCGGUGAAAUGCUUAGAUAUCACGAAGAACCCCGAUUGCGAAGGCAGCUUACUAAACUGUGACUGACAUUGAUGCUCGAAAGUGUGGGUAUCAAACAGGAUUAGAUACCCCAGUAGUC
rnacentral:rRNA from 1 species